rnacentral:rRNA from 1 species
ACUCAAAGGAAUUGACGGGGGCCCGCACAAGCGGUGGAGCAUGUGGUUUAAUUCGACGCAACGCGAAGAACCUUACCUAGACUCGAACGGCUUUGGACCGCUGUAGAAAUACAGUUUUCCCGCAAGGGACUGAAGUCGAGGUGCUGCAUGGCUGUCGUCAGCUCGUGUCGUGAGAUGUUGGGUUAAGUCCCGCAACGAGCGCAACCCUUGUCCUGUGUUGCUAAUCCGCAAGGAUGCACUCUCAGGAGACCGCCAGCGAUAAGUUGGAGGAAGGUGGGGAUGACGUCAAGUCAUCAUGGCCUUUAUGCCUAGGGCUACACACGUGCUACAAUGGACGGUACAAACCGUUGCAAACCCGCGAGGGGGAGCUAAUCGGAAAAAACCGUUCUCAGUUCGGAUUGCAGGCUGCAACUCGCCUGCAUGAAGCUGGAAUCGCUAGUAAUGGUAUAUCAGAACGAUACCGUGAAUACGUUCCCGGGCCUUGUACACACCGCCCGU